GACGAACGCUGGCGGCGUGCUUAACACAUGCAAGUCGAGCGCAAAGGCCCUGUACUUGUGGCGUGUUGGAGUGCCGAGAACGUGUGUAUCACGCGUGUAACCUGCCCCUUUCAUUGGGAUACAAUCAGGAGAAUCGGGUUAAUAUACCGCAUAAGCUCUUGCAACACAGUGGGUGUUGGAAAGAUUCGGCGGUUGGGCAUGGACUCGCGGCUCAGCAUCUUGUUGGUGAGGUAGUGGCUUACAAAGGCUUUGGCGGGUAGCCGGACUGAGAGGGUGACCGGCCACAUUGGGACUGAGAUACGGGCCAGAGGCCUACGGGAGGCAUCAGUGGGGAAUAUUGCACAAUGGGCGGCAGCCGGAUGCAGCAACGCCGCGUGCGGGAUGACGGCCUGCGGGGUGGAAACCGCGUGAGCCUGUAACGAAGAGUGAGUGACGGUAAUGGGUAAAGAAGCAACGGCUAACUACGUG
rnacentral:rRNA from 1 species